UGGAAACGGGUGGUAAUGCCGGAUGCUCCAGUUGAUCGCAUGGUCUUCUGGGAAAGCCUUUGCGGCAUGGGAUGGGGUCGCGUCCUAUCAGCUUGAUGGCGGGGUAACGGCCCACCAUGGCUUCGACGGGUAGCCGGCCUGAGAGGGCGACCGGCCACAUUGGGACUGAGAUACGGCCCAGACUCCUACGGGAGGCAGCAGUGGGGAAUAUUGCACAAUGGGCGCAAGCCUGAUGCAGCGACGCCGCGUGAGGGAUGGAGGCCUUCGGGUUGUAAACCUCUUUUGUUAGGGAGCAAGGCAUUUUGUGUUGAGUGUACCUUUCGAAUAAGCACCGGCUAACUACGUGCCAGCAGCCGCGGUAAUACGUAGGGUGCAAGCGUUAUCCGGAAUUAUUGGGCGUAAAGGGCUCGUAGGCGGUUCGUCGCGUCCGGUGUGAAAGUCCAUCGCUUAACGGUGGAUCCGCGCCGGGUACGGGCGGGCUUGAGUGCGGUAGGGGAGACUGGAAUUCCCGGUGUAACGGUGGAAUGUGUAGAUAUCGGA
rnacentral:rRNA from 1 species